AGAAGCAGCUAUAUCACCCUGGAACUCUCAACUGGCAACUCAUUAAAGGUAAGCAGGCGUGAGCCUGGCCAGUACCAGGAUGGGAGAUCUCCUGGGAAAGCUGAGGUUGCUGCAGGAA
rnacentral:rRNA from 1 species